AAUGACGUCAGGAAGUUUCCUAUCUAGUUAUUUUACAAUCCGUGAUAAAACUAAACUGCCUUUAAUUAAAUGGCUUUAUCGAUAAAUUUUGAGUUUCCAAUAAAAUGAUUUCAAAUUCUCGCAUGCAUAAAAAAGGGAAUCAAUAUUAAUAUAAAUACACUGAAAUUAUAUGCUGUCUUGUUUAGUUGUUUCAUAUACGCAAAGUGCCAACGGCCAUUGGGUUUUAAAGCAAUUAUAAAAUCAAUAUUUAAAACAAACUUCGCUAAUGCUUUCGUUUCCCCGGGUGUAAAUAGCCGGGGGAUUAGUCCCCUCGCACGGCGCUUCGCGCCGUCGGCUCGGGGAUUGGAAAUAGAAUGGAAGAGAACACGGCCCACAUGACUGUUCCGAAUUGUUCUGACUACCCCGAUAACUACUUCGAUCGAGUUUUCGAACCUUGCGGCAGGCUAUUUUGAUGCUAAUUGAUGCGUUGUUUUUAAAUCCUGCGCAAAAUCAUAUUUGAAGGCUUAUAUUAUGACUUUGGG